rnacentral:rRNA from 1 species
CGAGCGGACAGAUGGGAGCUUGCUCCCUGAUGUUAGCGGCGGACGGGUGAGUAACACGUGGGUAACCUGCCUGUAAGACUGGGAUAACUCCGGGAAACCGGGGCUAAUACCGGAUGGUUGUUUGAACCGCAUGGUUCAGACAUAAAAGGUGGCUUCGGCUACCACUUACAGAUGGACCCGCGGCGCAUUAGCUAGUUGGUGAGGUAACGGCUCACCAAGGCGACGAUGCGUAGCCGACCUGAGAGGGUGAUCGGCCACACUGGGACUGAGACACGGCCCAGACUCCUACGGGAGGCAGCAGUAGGGAAUCUUCCGCAAUGGACGAAAGUCUGACGGAGCAACGCCGCGUGAGUGAUGAAGGUUUUCGGAUCGUAAAGCUCUGUUGUUAGGGAAGAACAAGUGCCGUUCAAAUAGGGCGGCACCUUGACGGUACCUAACCAGAAAGCCACGGCUAACUACGUGCCAGCAGCCGCGGUAAUACGUAGGUGGCAAGCGUUGUCCGGAAUUAUUGGGCGUAAAGGGCUCGCAGGCGGUUUCUUAAGUCUGAUGUGAAAGCCCCCGGCUCAACCGGGGAGGGUCAUUGGAAACUGGGGAACUUGAGUGCAGAAGAGGAGAGUGGAAUUCCACGUGUAGCGGUGAAAUGCGUAGAGAUGUGGAGGAACACCAGUGGCGAAGGCGACUCUCUGGUCUGUAACUGACGCUGAGGAGCGAAAGCGUGGGGAGCGAA